UCGAGCUCCGCCUUGGACAUGUGGUACACGAUGCCUGCACCGUAGGAGUCACCCACCACGUUCACUGAGGUCCUGAAUCGAUCCCUGAGGACAAAGAAACCCGGAUAGGAAGACGGUUUGGCACACUUCAUACAUUUGUCUUGUCAAACUCACAGCAGCCAGUCGACGGCAACCAGCAGACUGAUGUCUUGCGUUGGCAGGCCCACGGCAGUCAGGAUCAGCAGCAUGGUCACCAGGCCAGCACUGGGAAUACUGGCUGCUCCCACACUGGCCAGGGUGGCUGUGAGACUGGAUGAAGACACAGCAAAGCAGCACAGGGUCAUAAUCUCCGAAAACCCCCGCUACAUCUAACUGCACCCUCCACAACUGUGCUCUUCGUCCUGAUGCAACUCUUCAGACACCAAUAACGGCGACGCCUCACUGCUGCAGGCGAAGACAGUCAUCCACCCUAUGGUGCUCGCGUAACAAGCAGCCGCUGAAGAGUGUCAGAGUGGGUCCUCCAUCGCGCACGGCGAGAGGUUCAAAUGUGAGGGAUGGGGUGUUUAAUUGAAGGGCUUCAUGAGUUGAUACGCCAUAAAAAUGUCAAGCUUUAAGGUCAAACGCCCUCGACUCACUCUAUUAACAGAAGAGCAUUUGAGGGAAAGUUAGUUCCAGUUACUCUAGAAAAAGUAAAUGGCCUGUAUUCAUCUACCUGCAUAACGUGGGGCACCGUACUACUUCCUCCAUGUGGUGGAUUUGCUACCUAGACUUUGUAUCCACUUUGAUCAGCUGAGGUUUUUCCUCUUCCUGUUCAAUGCCACCACACUGCUGCUGUGUUUGUCCUCAUUAUUAUGAUUUAAAUAAGUGAGAAUAAAGAAAUCUUCGAGUUA